AACGCUAGCGGCGUGCUUAACACAUGCAAGUCGAACGCUGAAGCUCCCAGCUUGCUGGGGGUGGAUGAGUGGCGAACGGGUGAGUAUCACGUGAGGAACCUGCCCUGAACUUUGGGAUAAGCCCGGGAAACUGGGUCUAAUACCGAAUAGGACUGACCAUCGCAUGGUGGUUGGUGGAAAGCUUUUUGCGGUUUGGGAUGGUCUCGCGGCCUAUCAGCUUGUUGGUGGGGUAAUGGCCUACCAAGGCUCUGACGGGUAGCCGGCCUGAGAGGGUGACCGGCCACACUGGGACUGAGACACGGCCCAGACUCCUACGGGAGGCAGCAGUGGGGGAUAUUGCACAAUGGGGGAAACCCUGAUGCAGCGACGCCGCGUGAGGGAUGACGGCCUUCGGGUUGUAAACCUCUUUCAGUUGGGAAGAAGCCUUUCGGGGUGACGGUACCUUCAGAAGAAGCACCGGCUAACUACGUGCCAGCAGCCGCGGUAAUACGUAGGGUGCGAGCGUUAUCCGGAAUUAUUGGGCGUAAAGAGCUCGUAGGCGGUUUGUCACGUCUGCUGUGAAAGCCCUGGGCUUAACCCUGGGUUUGCAGUGGGUACGGGCAGGCUGGAGUGCAGUAGGGGAGACUGGAAUUCCUGGUGUAGCGGUGAAAUGCGCAGAUAUCGGGAGGAACACCGAUGGCGAAGGCAGGUCUCUGGGCUGUUACUGACGCUGAGGAGCGAAAGCAUGGGGAGCGAACAGGAUUAGAUACCCUGGUAGUCCAUGCCGUAAACGUUGGGCACUAGGUGUGGGGAACAUUUCCACGUUUUCCGCGCCGUAGCUAACGCAUUAAGUGCCCCGCCUGGGGAGUACGGCCGCAAGGCUAAAACUCAAAGAAUUGACGG
rnacentral:rRNA from 1 species